AUUGAACGCUGGCGGCAUGCCUUACACAUGCAAGUCGAACGGCAGCACGGGGGCAACCCUGGUGGCGAGUGGCGAACGGGUGAGUAAUACAUCGGAAUGUACCCAGUAGUGGGGGAUAACUAGUCGAAAGAUUAGCUAAUACCGCAUACGCACUAUGGUGGAAAGCGGGGGAUCGCAAGACCUCGCGCGAUUGGAGCGGCCGAUGUCAGAUUAGGUAGUUGGUGGGGUAAAGGCUCACCAAGCCGACGAUCUGUAGCUGGUCUGAGAGGACGACCAGCCACACUGGGACUGAGACACGGCCCAGACUCCUACGGGAGGCAGCAGUGGGGAAUUUUGGACAAUGGGCGGAAGCCUGAACCAGCCAUCCCGCGUGCAGGAAGACAGCCCUAUGGGUUGUGAACUGCUUUUCCAGUGGGCGAACCCCUCGUACGUGUACGGGAUUGACGGUACACUGGGAUAAGCAUCGGCAACUCCGUGCCAGCAGCCGCGGU
rnacentral:rRNA from 1 species